rnacentral:lncRNA from 1 species
CAGCACGAUGCUGCCCGACCCUCGCGGCCGUCUGCAGGGCGGCACRACGGGAGCCGGCUCCAGCCCUGACCCGGUGUUCCUGACUGUGCCGCCCGGGAUGGCAAAGCACCGGACGAGCGGCUCUGCUCUUCUCGCGCCGCAGCGGGAACAGCCGGGUGGGUGCAGGAGCGCGGGCGAGCGAAGCGGCGGGUACAGCCUCAGCCGCUCACCUGGCCUGGCUUAUUGCUGCGUAAAAUGGCUUGGUUCAAAGACAAAAAAAAAAAGCACGACAGGUGGAGAGAGACGGGGGGGAAAAACCUGACGUUUCCUACAGAGCAGRCCUUGGGGAGAGACGGCGGCACGCGGACCUCGCGCCCGCCCGGGCCUGCGCCAGCCGCAGUGACGGACCGUCCGCCUCCCCGGGAGAGCCCGGCUGGCCGCAACCCUCCGUCUCCCCCCGGCUCGCUUUGGAAAUGGUUCGUGGCGGACGGAGGGCAGAGCUGGCUGCGAGGGGGUGAGCGGCAGCACCCGGGCUCGGGGCGCUCCGACCCAUGCGGGGUCCCGGCCCGCCGACGGCCACCUCCAGCCCUGGAGCCGAAAGCCAAGCGGCACCGAGCAGAGCUGCUGAAAAGCCGAGGAGCAGCAACCAGAGCGGGGACGGCGGCUGUUCGAGCACUAAGUGCAAGAAAUGUUGCCCAUGCAGGGAAAUCCAGGAGGCUCACGCUCGYCCCCCUCCCUCCCGGCAGCCUGUUCUUUGGGCAGCAGGAUGCCCCGGUGCUGGGAGAAGCGGGAUGAAUCCAAGCCCUCUGCAGAAGGACCGGCCGCGGGGAGGCUGUGGCAAGCCAGAGCAGGACGAAGCGGGGCACUGCCCAGCGCAGUGGGACGACAGCUGUAUGGCAAAGAGGCCGUAGGCACCGGUGGAUCGGGCUCCUCGCUGCUGCUCCCGCCAGCCCGCGCCGCUCCUGGGCUCCGAGCCCGGAUCCCUUUGCCAGUGCCAGGCUGGUGGGACCGGCUGCUCCCAUGCAGCUCCUUGGGUGCCAGCAAGCCGGACCGCAGCAUUGCCCCGGCUCUUCCCUCCGGCGGCGGGUGCAGGGACAGGCGGUGAGCAGGAC